ACGUAGGUGGCGAGCGUUGUCCGGAAUUAUUGGGCGUAAAGAGCAUGUAGGCGGUUUUUUAAGUCUGGAGUGAAAAUGCGGGGCUCAACCCCGUAUGGCUCUGGAUACUGGAAGACUUGAGUGCAGGAGAGGAAAGGGGAAUUCCCAGUGUAGCGGUGAAAUGCGUAGAUAUUGGGAGGAACACCAGUGGCGAAGGCGCCUUUCUGGACUGUGUCUGACGCUGAGAUGCGAAAGUCAGGGUAGCGAACGG
rnacentral:rRNA from 1 species